rnacentral:lncRNA from 1 species
UUAAAUACCCAGCUCUCCUCAGCCUGAUUACAACAGGCUUUAGAGCUCUGUCACAUUGUCACCCAGGAGGAAUAUGACAGCAAACAAUUCUGUAGAAGGAAGAAAUCCCGUGUUUGCACUUUAUGUAAUUCCCAUGUAAGUGGGAAGCCUGAGUUGGUGGAAAUCUGGCUUGAGCAUCCAGAAUAUGCAGUUCCUUGGAGACCCACCAAGAGGGGACUGAAGCAGAAGACAUGAUGUCACCUUCAAGGGGGAGACUUUUCAGCUGUCUGGAGCGGGGAGCUAGAACCACUGACCUCAAACCCCAAGGAGAGGCCAGAACAAAGCUCCAAAUGAGAUGCAGUGCAGAUUCCAGACCUCCAGAUCCUAGUUAGCCUGAGGGGGAGCUAGCUCCAAGCAGCCUAGAAGGUCUCUGGGUAUCCUGUGCCCCCACCCACAGAGUUUAGGAGCCCAGGGCUAUAUAGCCAGUGCAGAACCAGACCUAAGAUAAUUCAAGGGUUACCAAGCCAGGGCUUUCUAGAUCUUUCUCUCACAAAGGGAGAGGAG